ACCCCAAAGUAUAACAAAUUCUGCUGGUAAUUUAAACUUUAAGCGGAUAAGCACACCAGAAAUGCUCAAUGUCCUAUACAGAUAAACUAUUCAUACUUUAUAUCUUGUGUUUUUAAAGUAAAUUUUAUCCACAACUACAUAUUGCCCAAAUAGUAGUAACAUUUUUGAGUUAUUGGAUGUAAAGGUACUUUGAGAGGUUAACUGUUUCCUAAGUUACAAGAGAAAAUACUGCCACCAGCUGACUUGUUUUAAUCCCAUAGCUAUAUUUCUGCUCUAAUCUCCAGUUUUAAAAAUGAUCUGCUAAUUACAUUUCUCUACACACCAACUGAAAAUUACCAACUGAACAUUUUCCUUGUUGACAGUUUCCCACAAGAUGAAUUUGAUUUAUCAAAAAUACAGCUUUCUGAACUUAGUAUUAUUGACAUUUACUUGGUGCAGUUAACUUUUUUGUUAAAGGUCUGUUGUCAAGCAUUUAAGUAAUUUGUAGUUGUAAAAAGCCACUGGUGGAAAGUAAUAAGGCAGUAUUUUGAGUGCCCUUCUCAAUAAGUACAUACUAAACCAAAGGAAAGCUGGGUUAUGGUAAUAACAUUGCUACUGAUAAUCUAGAUAAUUAAGCAAAAAUUUGAAAAUUAUUUCUAAGAUUGUCUAAUGAAGUUCACUAAGUGUUUUUGUUAGGUUAUCACUAUUGGGCACCAUGGGGAAAGCAAAAUAAUUGUAUAGCUAGGUCAUUGCCCCAAAGGAAAACAGGAAAGAUGUCACAUGAAGUGUUUAAGAAUCAAAAUGUAAUUAGCUGAGUGUGGUGGUGCCUGCCUGUAGUCCCCGCUGAGGUGGGAGGAUCUCAUGAGCCCAGGACUUUGAGGCUGCAGUGAGCCAUGAUUGCACCACUGCGAUCCGCCCACCUUGGCCUCCCAAAGUGCUGGUAUUACAGGCAAGAGCCACCGCGCCUGGUCAGCCAGGGCUGUUUUCUAUCUCCUAAACAGGAUAACACUGCAGGAGGUACUUCACCUUUAAGAGCUUACAAUGUUGUAGCAAGUGCCCAACUACCUUGUGGAGGAAUCUAGACCCCAUAGCCAGACAUCACAUUUUAUGAUGUACACUCUAAACAUGGUAAAAGUUCAAAGAAGCAGGAGUGCACUGUGAGUAGGUAGAGAAUGCAUCUCUCUGGAGCAGAAACGUCAGAUUAUUUUAACAGUAUAAGCUAUGGAGAGCGAUUAUGAGCCUUGUGGUGCCUGAGAACAGGAAAGAAAGAAGUAUCCUACCUUCCUUAUAUAAUUUAUACCUCGGGGUAACUAAAUGGUUGUGAGGGAGAUUUCCUCAUUACAGAAUAAUUCCAGUUUCACAGUGCAGAACGUCUGAUAGAAUGUUAACAUUUACAACAGCUCAUGAAAUAAAGCUAGACCUCUUCAAUGGCUAACUUAAUGGUUGAAACCAUUAAGUAAAAUGCUGAUGGAGAAGUAUGUGAUUAAUGAAUCAGUAGUAGAGAAGUAUUUAAUUCAUGGAUCAGGGCAACCGCACUUCAACUCACUGAUCAAUUUUAAUAUUACAAAAACAGAUAACUAGAUAUUCUAGUUCAAAUAAUUGAACUAGAUAGUGGUUUACUAAGACUCUAGACUCUCAUCAAGUUUCUAGAUCUGAUGAGUAGUUUAUUAGAAAUUUAAGAUAUAGGGGAACAUUGUUAAAUCACCACAGGAGCACAAGUAGCAAAAAUCCACACUGAAAUUCUAUAAGACAAAUGAUCUAAGGAAAAAAAAUACCCACAACAAGGAUACCAUUGUUUAAAUAUAUCUAUUAUAAUUAAAACUAGUAAUUAGAAUUAAUAAGAGAUGUGUUGAGAACUUUUACUAAGUACUUUGUAUGUAUAAAGUACUUGCUUUAAUGUUAGCCUAUUAAACUUAAUAACUUUCCAUUUUAAAUAUUAUUUUUCUAGUUCCAUAGUCUUUUUCUAGAAGUAUGCCUUAUUUCACAUUCUUAAACAAGUACUCUAAGCAAAAUCAGCUCACUAAAAAAAUUUGUUUGGCUUUAACUGCUUUCAAUAAGCUUAGUUCUGUUUUUCCUCUUUUAUUUUGUUAUUCCUCCUGUCUAACUGAAACUUUGUACCCUUUAGCCAACAUCUCCCCAGUACCUUACCCCCUCUGUCUAUAAGCCCCUGGUAACAGAGAUUGAAUAUAUAAUAGAAAAAAUUGAUAGGACAAGUCCUGCGUUAUUACUACAUUUUAUGAGGAAAAUCUAUAUAUUAGAAGCACUUUAAAGGUAUAUUUGCUAUUCUAGCUGUGGAAACCAUCUGAAAACACAUUUGAAAGUGCUUUGAAACAGGGGUCAACUUCUCUGCAAAGGGCCAGAGUAUGUUUAGCUUUGCGGGCCACAGAUGGCCUCUGUUGCAUAUGCUGCUGGGUCUCCACCUUCCUCCUCCUUUUCUUCCCUUCCUCUUCCUUCUUUUUCUUCUUCUCUUUCUUCUUUCUCUUUAAAAGCAUAAAAUCAUUCUCAGCUCUUGGGCCAUACAGAAACAGGCCAUAGGCCAGAUUUGACUUCUAGGCCAUAGUUUGCCGACCCUCCAUUUUAGAACUUAGCUUUCCUGAAAGAGCAUUUGGGUCUCUCUCUCUCUUUCCCUUUCUCUCUCUCUGUCUCUCUCUCUCUCUCUUUCAGUAAGUGAAGUAAGAAAUAGGUCUUUCUUGAGGAACAAAAAGCUGAAAUAAUUUCAUGCAUUUGAAUAUGACCCUUGACCUGUUUUUGUCCAUCAUCACUCAGAUUUGUGGCUGCAACCACCAACCAAUUUGGUGCCAUAGGAUAUAGCAUAAUUUUUCAGCAACAGUUCAUAAGCUUUUCUUUUUGUUCUUUUUCCUUCUUCCAGUUGUGGUGGUUUAAAAACAUGUCUGCAAAAUCUUUGACACUUCUCAGUAAUUUUUUUUUUUAAAUAAAUCGAAAUGGGUUCUCACUAUGUUGCCCUCUCUCUAUGUUCCAGACAUUUUCUGGCUUUUUACCAUUAUCCAAACUCUGAACUCAUAGCUAAUAUAAAUAAUGCCAGUGUUAACACAAAAAUUUGACUUGAAUGAUUACAAUAGCAAACUUCAAUGUUUACCCCAUGGAAUAGGCAGAAAAUUUCAAGCACUUUUCUAGGCCACCUGAGUCUAUUUUGAGUAAGGAUCCUUAAGUUGAUACUCAAGUAAUGACAUUGAUGCAAUGUAGAAGACUAUGCUAAAAUUUGUCCUGGCUUCUCUCCAUGCUAUGGGCCAUCUGUAAAGCUUUGGAGUCUAGGUCAGAUGUAUGCGUUGUCUCCUCUUUGCUACCAUUUUUGUACAGAUUUCUAAUCUAAAUAAAGGCUUUCAAGAUGAAGGAAGGGGGCCAUGAACCAAGGGGAUGCCUCUAGAAGCUGGAAAAGGUAAGGAAACAGAUUCUCACCUAGACUUCCAGAAAGCUCUGCUGUUGCCUUGAUUUUAGCCUAGUGAGACCCAUUUCAGACUUCCGACCUCCAGUACGUGAAGAUAAUACAUUUGUGUUGUUUUAACCUAUUAAGUUCUAAAAUGGUGAACCCAAUUUCAUUUCUUCUCUCCCUUUACAAGGUAGGUGCUAUUAACAGUGAAAUGACAAUGCAAAAGCAAAGCAGAGGAAAGCACCAGCAAAGGACAUGCCUCGCUGACUGCAGAUUACAGUGUCCUCUACUCAAUUCCUAUCUUAAUAUGUAUCACAUGCCCUGCCUGAGAUAAUGAGGACUCUCCCAUUCCCUCAGUCUUCAGGUUGCCUCUACUUCUCUUCCAUUUUCUUUUUCCUUGAUAUGAUCCUCUUCUUUCUCAUUCUUCUCUUCUUUCAUUUCCUGAGUUGUUUUCUCUCCACUUCUUCCCCCUCUACUCUGAUAGGAAAUAUUAUAGCAGUAGCCCAAGCUAGAAGAAAAAGGACACACCUACCAGCUCCCUCCCUCCCUCACAACACCUACACGGCUGCUGGGGAAGCCUUGAAUGAAAGCUAGAAAAGAACAAAUAGGAAAAGAGGCAUUUGAAAACAGAACAGAAAUAGUCACAGACGGGUGACAGGCAGGAGAUGCCACCUCAUUGACAGCUGCCACCAUUUUCCAUAGAGAAGUUAUUCCAUUGUAGUAUACACCAGGGCUGGGUU
rnacentral:lncRNA from 1 species